ACAGAUUUAGUCAUUUUGAUGUUUUCUAUUGAUCAUGUGGACUUGUUUGUAAUGAUCUUGAGGAUACCACUAAUGAGAGAUCUUCUACUCAGCUGAUGGUAGGUAUCUUCUGUCUUUUAAUUAAUCUAUUGUAGUUUUUGUAUAAUUAUGUUGAGUUAAUGGUUCGUUGCUCUCUGAUGGUUUCUCUUUUAUUAUGUUCAGUUUCUGGUUCUCUUUCUCCUUGCCUUUUCACUUCAUUUAUUUGUUUUUCAUUCGCAUAUUGUGACUGCUUUGCUAUUUGAUAUAACAACGUUCAAUGAGUUUUAGUCACUCUUAAUUGAAUUGUUUCAAAUUCUCAAGCACUCCAGGUGUUUGAUGAAAUGCUUAUUUGUUUUUCUUCUCACUAAAUGCAAUAAUUGAUGUUGAUUUAAGAAUAGAUUAUUAAUUUGUAAGGGAGGACCAAAAUAUGGGUGAUGAUGAUGACAAUGAUUCCUCAAACAUGGCGGUUCUACCUUUUUAGAUCUUGGAAUUAGCUUAUUUUUAUGAGCUUUAGAUUUUAACUUAUUUUGCUUAGUAACUAAGAGCUUAAUAACCAUGUUGCUUUAAGGAAGAGAUAUUUGAUUAAAUUAGCAGUUGUUGAAUUUUCUAUUCAGCAAGUCAAGUUAUUGAUUAAUAAUGAAUUUGUUAACAGGUGAUUUUUAUUGCAAUUGAAGGGAGCAUAAGGGUAAGUGUAGUAGUAGUUAUAGGACAAUUUUUUUCGGUGCAACAGAGAUUUGGUCGCAUAAAGGAGUUAUAAAAGUUGCUGGUGCUUUGAUCUUUAAUAGCCACUUAUCAAUCUAGCAUCAUUGAUGCCAUUUUGCAUCUAAAUGCAUUUUUGGAACGAGAGCCGCAAUGGAAUCGUGACCUUAGCUCUUUAAUACCAAGAAAAACUUAAUAAGAAGGCAAGGAAACAGAGAAUUAAUAAAUUAUGCAAAAUAUUUGAUUCAGUGAUUGAGAACUGUGAUUGUUUAUAUUGUUCUGUGUACACGCUUAUUCACCACUUCACAUACGAAUUAACACUUUAUUCUUUGCAUGCACCUAAGAGCCAAUAUUUGUUGACUUUCUUCAAAUAGAAUA